rnacentral:rRNA from 1 species
GACGAACGCUGGCGGCGUGCCUAAUACAUGCAAGUAGGACGCAGUUGCGAACGGGUGAGUAACGCGUAGGUAACUACCUAUUAGAGGGGGAUAACUAUUGGAAACGAUAGCUAAUACCGCAUACUAGUAGAUGGACCUGCGUUGUAUUAGCUAGUAGGUAGGGUAAUGGCCUACCUAGGCAACGAUACAUAGCCGAUCUGAGCAGGGGGUGGGCCACCCUGGGGCGUAGGAACGGCCCAGACUCCGUCGGGAGGCAGCAGUAGGGAAUCUUCGGCAAUGGGGGGAACCCUUACCGAGCAACGCCGCGUGAGUGAAGAAGUUUUUCGGAACGUAAAGCUCUGUUGUUAAGGAAGCGGUACUUAACCAGAAAGGGACGGCUAACUACGUGCCAGCAGCCGCGGUAAUAC